AAAAAAAAGAUAAAAAA
rnacentral:sRNA from 1 species